UGGGGAAUAUUGCACAAUGGGGGAAACCCUGAUGCAGCGACGCCGCGUGAACGAAGAAGGUAUUCGUAUCGUAAAGUUCUGUCCUAUGGGAAGAUAAUGACAGUACCAUAGAAGAAAGCUCCGGCUAAAUACGUGCCAGCAGCCGCGGUAAUACGUAUGGAGCGAGCGUUGUCCGGAAUUAUUGGGCGUAAAGGGUACGCAGGCGGUUUAAUAAGUCGAAUGUUAAAGAUCGGGGCUCAACCCCGUAAAGCAUUGGAAACUGAUAAACUUGAGUAGUGGAGAGGAAAGUGGAAUUCCUAGUGUAGUGGUGAAAUACGUAGAUAUUAGGAGGAAUGCCAGUAGCGAAGGCGACUUUCUGGACACAAACUGACGCUGAGGUACGAAAGCGUGGGGAGCAAACAGG
rnacentral:rRNA from 2 species